CUCCUGGAAGGGAAACUCAACUAAAGCAAGCUUCGUUUCACUAAGAAUGUUUACGCUUUGUCAAAAUAAAGUGUUAUAAACUGAACGAAUAGACUUUAUAUCGAGUUGUAUGGCAGAACAUGUCAUUUAAUCAUAUUUACAGAUUCGUAGCUUCAACUUUAUUUGCAUUCAGAGCUACAUUGAGGACCAAAGCUCUCUCAAAUAGAUGUAAACCGUGUCUGGCUGCAUACAGAUGUCGGAGCCGGACUGCUUCUCCCCAGUCAUUUGCCAAAUGUGGACCAGAGUCGGGCAACGGGAGGCUCUCCACGCCGAUGCUACUUCCACAAACAGUGACAAAGAAUGAUGUCACUUGAGGCAGUUAAGGAGAAAGGGGAGAUGGUCCCAAGAGGGAGUCCCUUUUUGCUGGACCGCUGAGAGACUUCUGUAUAGGCCUAUCUAUGCGAUCACUAUCACAGUUGCGAUGAAUAUGUCUGCAGCUAUUGUCAUUAGUUUAACUGUCAGUUUUGGUCCAUGCAAUAUAGAUUAUGUAUUAUAGUAACAGAGAAUACAAUAAGGUGGGA